AUAUCUUGACCUUCUUUAUUGCCUCUUCUUCCUUUUUGUUUCUGUUCCACCCGACAUAACUCACUUUCGAUCCAGACUUCUCUUUUCAGUGUUUCUAUUUAUCUUUAUUUCUGAAAAUUAAUUACAGUGUAAGAGACGAAUGUAUAAAAAUUAAUCAACCCUGUUCGUUGUAAUCCAUUUCGAUCAACCAUGCAAAAAAUAAAAAUAAAAA
rnacentral:lncRNA from 1 species